rnacentral:rRNA from 1 species
AUUGAACGCUGGCGGAAUGCUUUACACAUGCAAGUCGAACGGCAGCACGGGGCAACCUGGUGGCGAGUGGCGAACGGGUGAGUAAUACAUCGGAACGUGCCCAAUCGUGGGGGAUAACGUAGCGAAAGUUACGCUAAUACCGCAUACGAUCUACGGAUGAAAGCGGGGGAUCGCAAGACCUCGCGCGAAUGGAGCGGCCGAUGUCAGAUUAGGUAGUUGGUGGGGUAAAGACUCACCAAGCCAACGAUCUGUAGCUGGUCUGAGAGGACGACCAGCCACAAUGGGACUGAGACACGGCCCAGACUCCUACGGGAGGCAGCAGUGGGGAAUUUUGGACAAUGGGCGCAAGCCUGAUCCAGCCAUUCCGCGUGCAGGAUGAAGGCCUUCGGGUUGUAAACUGCUUUUGUACGGAACGAAACGGUUCUCUCUAAUACAGGGGGCUAAUGACGGUACCGUAAGAAUAAGCACCGGCUAACUGCGUGCCAGCCGCCGCCGUAACAC